rnacentral:lncRNA from 1 species
GGUUUGCUUGGUUGGUCAUUAACAAAAUUGCAUUGUUUCCUUGAGGUUUUUGGAUUGUAAUUGCGUUUCUACUACUCUGACUUAGCAUAAUGUUGAAUAUGUUUUGCGCUUGCAAUUAGGUAUAGCUUAGUUGCCUAAUUGGUGUUUAAUCUUCGCUUAGUUGAUGAAACUAUAUGGUGCAUAGUUGAUUGAAUGUGUAAAUUGCGUUUUCUUAAUUCACUUUUAUGAAAAUAUGGUUAGUCUUGGCUUAGUUGGCUAGCUUAUGUUGGAUUAGGGGUUAAAGUAGUGUUUAAUUCUUGACUAAUCUAUGAUUGGAAGUAUGUAAUUGAGCUAGUGACCAACCGUUUUUAAUUAGUGUUUGCAUUCGUGUUCAAUUAAGUUUAUUUCCAUUCACAAAAACCCUUCACAAACCCCCACCAAGUGUUUGAUCUAAUGACUGAACCAAUAUUUGGUCCUUGAGAGACGAUCUAGGAGUCAUUUCCUAGUCUAUACUUCACUUUUAUUGCAUAUUAAAUUUGAUUCGGUUACGGCCUCGAUCAAUUGCCGCUACAACUAAGAUCCAAUGCAACCAACUCGUUAGCCUCUUCAACAAAUCUCCACCACAGAUGCACAACCUUCAUAGCCACGUCCACGUACACCACACUUCCUCUUCCUAAAACCUACAACAUACAACAUAUAUUAGAAGAAGGUGUUGUCAUUAAAAGCUUUGUCUCCCCA